GCCAGCUCGCUCAGCUCAGCUCA
rnacentral:snRNA from 1 species